CGAGUUACUUUUAAUAAUAGAUUUUAUUUAUAACACACUUUACAUCUGAAAGCAAAUCUCAAAGUGCACAGUACAGAGAACAAUAAACAAUAGAGAAACAAUAAAA